rnacentral:rRNA from 1 species
GACGAACGCUGGCGGCGUGCUUAACACAUGCAAGUCGAACGGAAAGGCCCUGCUUUUGUGGGGUGCUCGAGUGGCGAACGGGGGAGUAACACGUGAGUAACCUGCCCUUGACUUUGGGGUAACUUCAGGAAACUGGGGCUAAUACCGGGUAGGAGCUCCUGCUGCCUGGUGGGGGGUGGAAAGUUUCGGCGGUUGGGGAUGGACUCGCGGCUUAUCAGCUUGUUGGUGGGGUAGUGGCUUACCAAGGCUUUGACGGGUAGCCGGCCUGAGAGGGUGACCGGCCACAUUGGGACUGAGAUACGGACCAGACUCCUACGGGAGGCAGCAGUGGGGAAUAUUGCACAAUGGGCGGAAGCCUGAUGCAGCAACGCCGCGUGCGGGAUGACGGCCUUCGGGUUGUAAACCGCUUUCGCCUGUGACGAAGCGUGAGUGACGGUAAUGGGUAAAGAAGCACCGGCUAACUACGUG